rnacentral:rRNA from 1 species
CAGACAGCCAGGAUGUUGGCUUAGAAGCAGCCAUCAUUUAAAGAAAGCGUAAUAGCUCACUGGUCGAGUCGGCCUGCGCGGAAGAUGUAACGGGGCUAAACCAUGCACCGAAGCUGCGGCAGCGACGUUUAUGCGUUGUUGGGUAGGGGAGCGUUCUGUAAGCCUGCGAAGGUGGCCUGUGAGGGUUGCUGGAGGUAUCAGAAGUGCGAAUGCUGACAUAAGUAACGAUAAAGCGGGUGAAAAGCCCGCUCGCCGGAAGACCAAGGGUUCCUGUCCAACGUUAAUCGGGGCAGGGUGAGUCGACCCCUAAGGCGAGGCCGAAAGGCGUAGUCGAUGGGAAACGGGUUAAUAUUCCCGUACUUGGUGUUACUGCGAAGGGGGGACGGAGAAGGCUAUGUUGGCCGGGCGACGGUUGUCCCGGUUUAAGCGUGUAGGCUGGUUUUCCAGGCAAAUCCGGAAAAUCAAGGCUGAGGCGUGACGACGAGGCACUACGGUGCUGAAGCAACAAAUGCCCUGCUUCCAGGAAAAGCCUCUAAGCAUCAGGUAACAUCAAAUCGUACCCCAAACCGACACAGGUGGUCAGGUAGAGAAUACCAAGGCGCUUGAGAGAACUCGGGUGAAGGAACUAGGCAAAAUGGUGCCGUAACU